GCCCCUUCGGGGGUACUCGAGCGGCGAACGGGUGAGUAACACGUGAGCAACCUGCCCCUGACUCUGGGAUAAGCCCGGGAAACUGGGUCUAAUACCGGAUAUGACCACUCCAGGCAUCUGGUGGUGGUGGAAAGUUUUUCGGUUGGGGAUGGGCUCGCGGCCUAUCAGCUUGUUGGUGGGGUGAUGGCCUACCAAGGCGACGACGGGUAACCGGCCUGAGAGGGCGACCGGUCACACUGGGACUGAGACACGGCCCAGACUCCUACGGGAGGCAGCAGUGGGGAAUAUUGCGCAAUGGGCGGAAGCCUGACGCAGCGACGCCGCGUGGGGGAUGACGGCCUUCGGGUUGUAAACCUCUUUCAGCAGGGACGAAGCUAACGUGACGGUACCUGCAGAAGAAGCGCCGGCUAACUACGUGCCAGCAGCCGCGGUAAUACGUAGGGCGCAAGCGUUGUCCGGAAUUAUUGGGCGUAAAGAGCUCGUAGGCGGUUUGUCGCGUCUGUCGUGAAAGCCCACGGCUUAACCGUGGGUCUGCGGUGGAUACGGGCAGACUAGAGGCAGGUAGGGGAGAAUGGAAUUCCCGGUGUAGCGGUGAAAUGCGCAGAUAUCGGGAGGAACACCGGUGGCGAAGGCGGUUCUCUGGGCCUGUACUGACGCUGAGGAGCGAAAGCGUGGGGAGCGAACAGGAUUAGAUACCCUGGUAGUCCACGCCGUAAACGUUGGGCGCUAGGUGUGGGGUUCUUCCACGGAUUCCGCGCCGUAGCUAACGCAUUAAGCGCCCCGCCUGGGGAGUACGGCCGCAAGGCU
rnacentral:rRNA from 1 species